rnacentral:rRNA from 1 species
UACGUAGGGGGCAAGCGUUGUCCGGAUUUAUUGGGCGUAAAGAGCGUGUAGGCGGCCAGGUAGGUCCGUUGUGAAAACUCGAGGCUCAACCUCCAGACGUCGGUGGAAACCGUAUGACUAGAGUCCGGAAGAGGAGAGUGGAAUUCCUGGUGUAGCGGUGAAAUGCGCAGAUAUCAGGAAGAACACCCGUGGCGAAGGCGGCUCUCUGGGACGGUACUGACGCUGAGACGCGAAAGCGUGGGGAGCGAACAGG